GACGAACGCUGGCGGCGUGCCUAAUACAUGCAAGUUGAGCGCUGAAGGUUGGUACUUGUACCAACUGGAUGAGCAGCGAACGGGUGAGUAACGCGUGGGGAAUCUGCCUUUGAGCGGGGGACAACAUUUGGAAACGAAUGCUAAUACCGCAUAAAAACUUUAAACACAAGUUUUAAGUUUGAAAGAUGCAAUUGCAUCACUCAAAGAUGAUCCCGCGUUGUAUUAGCUAGUUGGUGAGGUAAAGGCUCACCAAGGCGAGGAUACAUAGCCGACCUGAGAGGGUGAUCGGCCGCAUUGGGACUGAGACACGGCCCAAACUCCUACGGGAGGCAGCAGGAGGGAAUCGUCGGCAAUGGACGAAAGUCUGACCGAGCAACGCCGCGUGAGUGAAGAAGGUUUUCGGAUCGUAAAACUCUGUUGGUAGAGAAGAACGUUGGUGAGAGUGGAAAGCUCAUCAAGUGACGGUAACUACCCAGAAAGGGACGGCUAACUACGUG
rnacentral:rRNA from 1 species